AGGAAUAUUGGUCAAUGGACGAGAGUCUGAACCAGCCAAGUAGCGUGAAGGAUGACUGCCCUAUGGGUUGUAAACUUCUUUUAUAUGGGAAUAAAGUGAGCCACGUGUGGCUUUUUGUAUGUACCAUACGAAUAAGGAUCGGCUAACUCCGUGCCAGCAGCCGCGGUAAUACGGAGGAUCCGAGCGUUAUCCGGAUUUAUUGGGUUUAAAGGGAGCGUAGGCGGACUAUUAAGUCAGCUGUGAAAGUUUGCGGCUCAACCGUAAAAUUGCAGUUGAUACUGGUCGUCUUGAGUGCAACAGAGGUAGGCGGAAUUCGUGGUGUAGCGGUGAAAUGCUUAGAUAUCACGAAGAACUCCGAUUGCGAAGGCAGCUUACUGGACUGUAACUGACGCUGAUGCUCGAAAGUGUGGGUAUCAAACAGGAUUAGAUACCCUGGUAGUCCACACAGUAAACGAUGAAUACUCGCUGUUUGCGAUAUACAGCAAGCGGCCAAGCGAAAGCAUUAAGUAUUCCACCUGGGGAGUACGCCGGCAACGGUGAAACUCAAAGGAAUUGACGGGGGCCCGCACAAGCGGAGGAACAUGUGGUUUAAUUCGAUGAUACGCGAGGAACCUUACCCGGGCUUAAAUUGCAAAUGAAUAUAGUGGAAACAUUAUAGCCGCAAGGCAUUUGUGAAGGUGCUGCAUGGUUGUCGUCAGCUCGUGCCGUGAGGUGUCGGCUUAAGUGCCAUAACGAGCGCAACCCUUAUCUUUAGUUACUAACAGGUCAUGCUGAGGACUCUAGAGAGACUGCCGUCGUAAGAUGUGAGGAAGGUGGGGAUGACGUCAAAUCAGCACGGCCCUUACGUCCGGGGCUACACACGUGUUACAAUGGGGGGUACAGAAGGCAGCUACACAGCGAUGUGAUGCUAAUCCCAAAAGCCUCUCUCAGUUCGGAUUGGAGUCUGCAACCCGACUCCAUGAAGCUGGAUUCGCUAGUAAUCGCGCAUCAGCCACGGCGCGGUGAAUACGUUCCCG
rnacentral:rRNA from 1 species